UUGGAGGGCAAGUCUGGUGCCAGCAGCCGCGGUAAUUCCAGCUCCAAUAGCGUAUAUUAAAGUUGUUGCAGUUAAAAAGCUCGUAGUUGAAUUUCGGGGUUAGUAGGUUGGUCAUGCCUCUGGUAUGUACUGGUCUCACUGAUUCCUCCUUCCUGAUGAGCCGUAAUGCCAUUAAUUUGGUGUUGCGGGGAAUUUGGACUGUUACUUUGAAAAAAUUAGAGUGUUUAAAGCAAGCUAACGCUUGAAUACAUUAGCAUGGAAUAAUGAAAUAGGACGUUCGAUCCUAUUUUGUUGGUUUCUAGGAUUGACGUAAUGAUUAAUAGGGAUAGUUGGGGGCAUUAGUAUUCAAUUGUCAGAGGUGAAAUUCUUGGAUUUAUUGAAGACUAACUACUGCGAAAGCAUUUGCCAAGGAUGUUUUCAUUAAUCAAGAACGAAAGUUAGGGGAUCGAAGACGAUCAGAUACCGUCGUAGUCUUAACCAUAAACUAUGCCGACUAGGGAUCGGACGAAGUUAAUUUUAUAAUGACGCGUUCGGCGCCUUACGGGAAAC
rnacentral:rRNA from 1 species